GAUGAACGCUGGCGGCGUGCCUAAUACAUGCAAGUCGAGCGAACAGACGAGGAGCUUGCUCCUCUGACGUUAGCGGCGGACGGGUGAGUAACACGUGGAUAACCUACCUAUAAGACUGGGAUAACUUCGGGAAACCGGAGCUAAUACCGGAUAAUAUAUUGAACCGCAUGGUUCAAUAGUGAAAGACGGUUUUGCUGUCACUUAUAGAUGGAUCCGCGCCGCAUUAGCUAGUUGGUAAGGUAACGGCUUACCAAGGCAACGAUGCGUAGCCGACCUGAGAGGGUUAUCGGCCACACUGGAACUGAGACACGGCCCAGACUCCUACGGGAGGCAGCAGUAGGGAAUCUUCCGCAAUGGGCGAAAGCCUGACGGAGCAACGCCGCGUGAGUGAUGAAGGUCUUCGGAUCGUAAAACUCUGUUAUUAGGGAAGAACAAAUGUGUAAGUAACUAUGCACGUCUUGACGGUACCUAAUCAGAAAGCCACGGCUAACUACGUG
rnacentral:rRNA from 1 species